GGCUAGUGAAUAUGUACGAUUCUGGCCACUACCAGAACUAGAUGCUCCUUCUCUGCCUCUGCCUCUACCUCUACCUGCUGAAGUCUGGGGUCCACGCCCCGUAGACUGUGCUGAUGAAGAGGAACCUACUACUGACCUGGUCGACUGACCUAUACCACCCUGACCUAUGGUCGGGCAGUUUCUCCACCCAUGCCCCUCUUGUCCACAAGAAUAACAACCUGUGGAACCCUGUUUGCACCUCCCGAAAUGCAUCCUACCACAAGUUGUGCAACACGGUGGUGCUG
rnacentral:lncRNA from 1 species